UUUGAAACAUGCUCUGCUUACUCUAGUGACUUGCUGAAAACUACAGUUUGGUGUGGUUACAGUCUCUCUCCUUUGUCUGUUCACCUCAUCUGAAAACUACAGCAGUGUGAGCUAAGGCGAUGAAAGUAAUAUGCUCUAUCACCUUAUAAUUCUGUACAAAGGUAGCUCCUUCCCUAAGUCUUGUUAUUUGAUCAUGGAUGCAUCUCUGCACCUACAUUUUUCACUGUUUGAAAUAUGCUCUGCUUACUCUAGUGAAUCGCUGAAAGCUACAGUUUGGCUGCAAACACAUGAAACCUCCGCUCCUUUGCCUGCUCACCUCAUCUGCAUUGCAUCCAUUUCUUUCAGCAGCGUGAGAUAAGGCAGUAAUCCCAUGAUCUCAAAAGGCCAUCAGCACACACAUCUACAGUGAUAAAAGGAUUACCCUCACCAGUUCAGAUCUCACAAAUGCAACUCUGAAACUAACUGUUCUUUCAGUCGUUACAGUUCAGCAUUUCUCAAAUGAUAGUUGCAGGUCUUCAUGGUUGCUUUCCUGAUCUACCUGAAUCCUGCCGUCAGACGCCCCCAGUUCACAACGCGAUGCUGAGUAAACUCCAGGCCGGGAGAAAAAACCGCCGUCCGCGCGUGCGCGGGAGCUAUAUUGGUCCCUCGAUCGCCGUCUCAGGCGACGACGAGCCGCCGCCCGCCGGCGCCCGCGGAGAAGCUAGGGACGUUGUGAGCGGAGCGCGCGGGGAGCCGGAGACAGAUGCUAGUAUGGGUGAAUCUCGACGGAUCCUCACGCGGGAUUCGUGGGGACGGGGCUAGCGGAGGUCGGCGACGGCAGCGCGAUCUCGUCGGCGACCGCCGCACCGCCGCCCGGGCUUUCUAAUUGCUACCCGGUGAAAUUUUACAAAUAGGACCUUUGUAUUUACAUCUAGGACCCCAAUAUUUUGCAGAAAGCCCCCUGGCUCGGACGGGCCAGAUGGUCUCUCCCCUGGGCUCCCGCUCCUGUCCGCCCGGCGGCGUCCGCCGCCACCGCCGCCGUCCUCUUCACGUUUCAUUUCAGCCAGAAGCACAGAGCCCCUUCUUACCCAUCCCCCGCUCAGGCCCUAGCACCAGCUCUCCACUCCUGAGUCCUGACCCCUCUGCUCAACCCAUGAAGCUGAGGACCCCAAGCUAGCGCGCGAUUCGCCGUGCGCUUGAGGUCACACACCCGGCGUGGCGGGCACUCAUCUCCUUCCGGAGACCAAUCGUCAAGGUUCGGAGGAUAUUUAAUCCCUAGGAGAUUGAUUUCACCAAGUACGUAUUACUCUAUUUUUUGUUGGAUUUUCAGAGGAUGGUGCAAAACUGCUGGUAGAGAGUGCUAAUGUCAGGCUUUUCAGUAAGCAAUCUCAGCACAGAUCAUCUUUCGUCAUUGGUUUGUGCAACUGUUGUGUGCAGUUUAUGCAUUACUUUGACUGAUUUGCACAAAAUAUGUUUGCUGAUUGUGUAGGGGUGGACUAGCUAGCUAUUUCUUCAUUUGAUUACUUGAUACCUGCACAUAUGGUCAUUUUUUAAAAAAGUGGUGUAGAAGAGUGGACACUUUCUGUCCGAAAAGUUCGAAUACAGUAUUCGGCUUUAUUGACCUUUUGCACACUACAAAAUUCUUUUAUUCUCUCAUGGUUAGAGUUAAUUGCCUGUAUGGCAGAAAAGUUCAGUAGCAAGCAUUGCUUGUUGAAUUACUUUGAACAUGCUAGCUCUAAAAGAACACAACAGAGCCAGUCGUAUAUUUUUCUAUUUUUUAUUAAAAUAUGGUUACUUGGUUAGUUUGCAUUUCCCUAACAUUUUAAGCUAUUUGAUGAACUAGGUGUUAACAAAAAGAUAUGUCUACCUAGCCAAAAACUUGUUCCAAUCCAUAGGUCUGUCGUAGGUUCCUUUAGAUUUCAGUAAUGAUUAGGAAACAAUUUUGAGAGUUCUAUAGGGGUGAACGAGGGAGCUUCUGGAUCCAUCAGUUUAUAUUUUAUAAAAAAAAACAGGCAUGCAGAUGAGUCUGUAGUUUCAAGUAACUCUUCUCAUUUAAAGCAGAUUAAUCAAUUGGUUCUUGUGAUCCCAGUAGUGGCAGGCCAUUUGUCAUUUUUGCAGCAACUUGGCAGUAGUUACUCUCUUUUCAAGUAGUGGUUCCUUGUAUGCCACUACCUUUUCAAACUUUCUAAAAUCUUUGCUUUGUUAUUGUUCUUAAUGAAAGAGCAGAGCUCUUGCCACAUUGGUUUGCAUAAACCAUAGGAAAAGGAAUGUAGUAGUUAGAGGUAUUGAGAUGAGACUUUUCUUUGUUAUUAUUCUUUUUGUUGUUGCAGUUUGGAUCAAGUCUUAGGUUGGUUGGACCUAGAUGUAACCUUUGAGGGGAAGGUUGACAUAAUGUGGCAAAAUCACCCAUCUUUCUUCACAAACCUUAACUUUUCAUUGGAAUGGACGAUGCAUGAAUUUCAACUGUUAGGAUCCUGAAAUGAUGGUCUGUGCUGCUAAUCCCAUGUUUUCUAACUAAGCAGUUGAUGAAUGAUGUUAAUUGAGAUUUAAGAAGUUCUUUCUUCUAUUCAAGUUCCAAGGUUUCACACUGUCUGCUGUAGAAAUUACAAUACUUUUGGUAUCAGUGUAAAGGUACUCAAAUUUCUGGAGGUCUUACAUGGACAAAGCAAAUCAGUACUUAAUCAUUGCAAUGCUUAUUGGUUGGUGAUUUUGUGUUAAAGACAAUGUCUUUGUUUUUGAGAAUAGGAAACAUGCUUUUGUUAGUGCGAGAUACACUUUGAGCUUUUAAACUACAAAGAUUGUACUGCUAUUGUUGUUGACAGGCUUGGCGUUAAUGAUUCUGUGUACUUUAGCCUCCACUUUUUGUAAUCUAACUUUUAUCUAAGAAGAACGAUACGCUGUUUGUGUCAGUGUGUCGGUGAUAUAUAUUUUAGGUGUAUAGUAUUUUGCAAGAAGCUGAAAAUAUACUUUACAUGCUAUUUUCCCUUUUCAGAAAAUUAUUUUUGUCAAAGCUCUGAAAUUGGAUGAUGUUUAGCCAUGCAGAUAUAUGUUGCAUUGCUUACCUUUGAGAUCGAUUUGGAGCUUAGGGUUCUCUGCCAGAUACAUUGAUAUCAAACAACAGCCUUUUCCCCUCUAUAUGACUACUAGGCCAAGAGCAGACAGGCAGAUGUUCAUAUGGUAUCCUGUAUCGAUAUGUUGGUAAUUUUUUACCUUGAAAGAAUAUGCUGUAUCUCCAGUAUGUCUGUUUGCAUUGUAUAUCGGUUCACUGAAACUUUUGAUGCACGGAGAACUCUGCAAUGUAAAGUACUUUCAGUUAUCUACUCCUCUCAAAUUUUGAAACCCUUUGGGUGAUGUACAUGUCGAUUAAAUGGUAUUUUUCUACAGUUGAAAAUAUGUUCUGCCAAUCUAUGUAGUUUACUCCCCAAAUCAUAGUUUGCUGCAUCAAACUAGUACCUUCCACUAGAUGACUGCAGCCUGCACAUAUUUCCACCUGUUUUUGAAAUAUGCACUGCCUACUCAAGUGACUUGCUGAAUUUCAUAGUUUGGCUGCAUCCAUGCCUUUUAGAAGUGGGAGACACAGAGUAGUAGUCCGAGGUCCCAGCAUCUCAAGGUCCAGUUGCACACACAUCUGCAGAGAUCAAAGGAGGACCCUCAACAGUUCAGAUCUCAAAAUGUAAUUGUUCACACUAACUGACCGGUCUGUCAAUCAUUACAGGUCAACCUUUCUCAAAGGAUGCUAUGCAAAUGCACCUUUCCCUGCUUGUCUUCCCGGGCUGCUUUUCUGGUCCUCUGGGUGAGUGCAGGCGUUGCACGCGUGCUCAGACAGUCGGUCACACACCGGAGGACAGGUAUUAAGGACAGUGAAAAUCUGGUGGCGUGGCGUCCACCGGCGUGUACGGUGUACCCACAUUUACGGGCUUGCACCAUGCGGCUGUUCCCAGGGCAGGAGCGGACGGGCACGCCAUGGCCUCCGUCGCUGAAGCGCGAGCAGUGCCAUUCAUGGCCAGGGUUAUUGUUUUUGGAAGGGUGGUUGCUGUCUUGCUGUGGGCACUGUGCAAGGUAGCAAGCUGGAGGCCACUACUAUAGCAUGCAGUGAUGACGCAGAUAGAGAAGGUGGAGACGAAGGCGCCGACGCCAGGCAGGCAACAGUAGUAACCCUUGGCAGACGACGACGAGGCCGCCGCGGCCGGGGACGGGGACCAUGCGCGUGGCGUGGGCACUCUAGCCUCGAGGAGAAAUGGCAUGUCCUGGCUCCAUGGGAAAGGAGACCCGAAUUGAAGCAGGUGGAGACGAGGCGGCAGGCAGGCAGGGAUCGUCGGAGGACAGGACCAGGACCACACCACAGGGACAGCAGCAGGGAGAUUUAAAUUCUUCGCCGGAGAUGGCGAAGAUCCAGAAGCUGGGGGUGACCAUGCAUGCCCCUGCGCCGUGCAGGUCGCAGUACUGUGGUUUCUACAGCGGUUGCCUGGACUCUGCACUACAGCUCGGCACUGCACGAACAUUUGAGACCACCGUCCUCCGGCUGGUGGAUUUUAGACCGCGGCAAGGUUACGGACGGGAUCAAAUUAAUUCUUGUUCCGAUGAGUUGGUUACUGUUCUACUCGUGAGGUCAGUUUCAGUUGCCGUUUCAGACACGGAAUUUUGACUUGUGGAUGCCUCAAUUGGGCGCCAGAGUUUUUAGAGACGGUGAGGCCGGCCGGGGGAGGAUCUCGCAUCGGAGGCGGCCAAGCGCAACGGGCGGCGUCGGCGCGGUGGCCUUGUCGAUUCCCCUGGCGCGGCGCGGCUCGUGGCGUGGCACGGUGACGCUGUCUGCCGCCGCCGGUCACGUCCAAGCGAGGGCGGGCGAGACGACGACGAACUCGAUCGCCGCGCCAUGCGUGCAUGUGACCGCGCGCGUGACGGCGUGAGGCCGGCCACGUACGCGAGAGCUUAGCGUGCGGCCAAAGGUUUCAUUUGCAGCUGGCGCCUCUGCUGAGCAAUACUAGAUCUGAAUGAACCAGUACAAGUGCUGGUGACAAAGUAAACUCUGUACGGUGUGACCGUUAAUGUACUGCGGGGGCAUUGUUAUCCGAAGCUAACGCAAGUGGACGGUGCAGCUAGGUACAGUAACUUUUCAAUUUGACCAUGGUAAGGAAACAUGGAGGAGACCACCAUGCAGUAACUUAUGGUAAAUAUAUGUAAGUGCUAGAUAAAACCCCUUUUGAUGCCUUCCAAUUGGCUUAAAGAUCCUUUCUGUUGUGAAAUUUUUUUAUUAGUGAUCAAUUACUGUACAGAGUCUUUCAUGAAAGCAACCUCCUCGCUCCACCACAAGGAUAGAGCCAUCGGCCUAAUCCUGCAUUGCCGGGGACGGCACACCCUUCUUCACCAACGGUCUUCCAACAACUGCAUCUGUAGCAGUGACAACGGCAGUGGACCAUGCGACGGUGCCUGCGGCACCAAACCCACUUGGCCGUGUCGCGGCCAUUGACCGCUGCGAGAUGUGAGGCCUAGUAGUGCU